rnacentral:lncRNA from 1 species
GGAAAAUGUUGGGCCCCUUUACCUAUGAAAUUGCUUCAUCACCUGCCUUUUAGAAAACAUGGUGACAGAAGCAGGUGGGCAGCCCAGUGCCUAUGAUCUCAUAAGUACAAGAGGGAGUGACCCUCAUAUCUGAAAAUUAUUGGUAUACUUGGAGCAACCAAUGGAUAACAUGAGUACAAAAGGUACCUAUAGGUUUUUGGUCAUAGGUAACUAUCCCUUUUGAUCUUGGACUCUAGACCUCCACAGGUCAUGGCUUAUGCCCUUAGUGGGCUAAAGGAAAUACCUCAGGCUGCUCCCAGUCUGACAUGCCAUCUCACUGUUAGUUUCAGGAAUCACUUACAGACCCCAUCCAGUUAGCCAACUGUGUGCGCUCUGCUCCACUACACCAGCCAUCAGCUGCCACUGCUGUGUUAUCUAAGAGAGAUGAUGCCAACGGUACUGUCUUGUCGGAUGACACAUAUUUAGCUUUAUAAGCCCCUAUUAAGCAUCUAUUUUUCCAUCCAUAGCUGAAAUUGCAGUCUUUUUCUGUUUUCCCUGGAAGCCAUGCAGUUAUCAAGACAAAACAUUGUGUGUACAUCUCUCGUAUCACAUACCUCAUGUCAUACAUUGUUCAAUCCCAGGGCUGCAAAGGCCCCACACAUACUGUUUACCAAUUCCAGAGAAAGAAAUUUAGAGAACUCAUCAGAGAGGUUUUGGACAUUUUAUUAACUACUCAUUCCUUGGAGAUGGGGGUCUAGGAUUCAAUGGAGAGACAUGCCAUGCCUACAAGCAGAGGAAUAUAUACAUGACAGGUUGCAUGCCACUCACAGAAGGAUUUUUUCAGAUGUUU